GACGGGAGAGGCGAACGUUAUCCGGAAUCACUGGGCGUAAAGGGUACGCAGGCGGUUGAGAAAGUCUGGGGUGAAAGACCACGGCUUAACUGUGGGGGGGCGUUGGAUACUGCCCCGCUUGAGGGAGGCAGAGGGAGCGGGAAUUCCCGGUGUAGCGGUGAAAUGCGUAGAUAUCGGGAAGAACACCUGAGGCGAAAGCGGGCUCCUGUGCCCUAACUGACGCUGAGGUACGAAAGAUAGGGGAGCGAAUGGG
rnacentral:rRNA from 1 species